rnacentral:rRNA from 1 species
UACGUAGGGUACGAGCGUUAAUCGGAAUUACUGGGCGUAAAGGGUAGGUAGGUGGUCUUAUUUGUCUGGGGUGAAAUCCUUGAGCUUAACUCAAGAAGUGCCCUAGAAACGGUAAGACUAGAGUCUUGGAGAGGGUCGUGGAAUUCCCGGUGUAGCGGUGAAAUGCGUAGAGAUCGGGAGGAACACCAGAGGCGAAGGCGGCGACCUGGACAAGCACUGACACUCAACUACGAAAGCGUGGGGAGCGAACAGG